AGAAUCAACGCUGGCGGCGUGCCUAACACAUGCAAGUCGAACGAGAAAGUGGAGCAAUCCAUGAGUAAAGUGGCGCACGGGUGAGUAACACGUGACUAACCUACCCUUGAGUGGGGAUAACCUAGGGAAACCUGGGCUAAUACCGCAUAAUACCUUCGGGUCAAAGGAGCAAUUCGCUUAAGGAGGGGUCGCGGCCGAUUAGUUAGUUGGCGGGUAAUGGCCCACCAAGACUGUGAUCGGUAU
rnacentral:rRNA from 1 species